rnacentral:rRNA from 1 species
AGCUCAGCACUGGGCGUAAAGCGUGCGCAGGCGGUUUUGUAAGACAGAGGUGAAAUCCCCGGGCUCAACCUGGGAACUGCCUUUGUGACUGCAAGGCUGGAGUGCGGCAGAGGGGGAUGGAAUUCCGCGUGUAGCAGUGAAAUGCGUAGAUAUGCGGAGGAACACCGAUGGCGAAGGCAAUCCCCUGGGCCUGCACUGACGCUCAUGCACGAAAGCGUGGGGAGCAAACA